GGGGAAUAUUGGACAAUGGGGGCAACCCUGAUCCAGCCAUGCCGCGUGUGUGAAGAAGGCUUUCGGGUUGUAAAGCACUUUCAGUAGGGAGGAAAACCUUAUGGCUAAUACCCAUGAGGCUUGACGUUACCUACAGAAGAAGCACCGGCUAACUCCGUGCCAGCAGCCGCGGUAAUACGGAGGGUGCAAGCGUUAAUCGGAAUUACUGGGCGUAAAGCGCGCGUAGGUGGUUUGGUAAGCGAGAUGUGAAAGCCCCGGGCUUAACCUGGGAACGGCAUUUCGAACUGUCAGACUAGAGUGUGGUAGAGGGUAGUGGAAUUUCCUGUGUAGCGGUGAAAUGCGUAGAUAUAGGAAGGAACACCAGUGGCGAAGGCGGCUACCUGGACCAACACUGACACUGAGGUGCGAAAGCGUGGGGAGCAAAC
rnacentral:rRNA from 1 species